rnacentral:rRNA from 1 species
GGGGUUGUUACUCUAAGGCUACCUGCUAAAGUUAUUGCUUUAAAGCAGGGGUUUUAGGAGACUUUCCCCGAAAGGGGCCAGUGCGGAGCACUGGCCAGUGGCGAACGGGUGAGUAACACGUGGGUAAUCUACCCUCGAGUGGGGAAUAAGCUUCCGAAAGGGGGUCUAAUGCCGCAUAACGUUUCAUAACGAUGGUUAUGAAACCAAAGCCCAAAAGGCGCUCGAGGAGGAGCCUGCGUCCUAUCAGCUUGUUGGCAGGGUAAUGGCCUACCAAGGCUAUGACGGGUAGCCGGCCUGAGAGGGUGUCCGGCCACACUGGAACUGAGACACGGUCCAGACUCCUACGGGAGGCAGCAGUGGGGAAUUUUGCGCAAUGGGGGAAACCCUGACGCAGCGACGCCGCGUGGAGGAUGACGGCCUUCGGGUUGUAAACUCCUGUCAGAAGGGACGAAAUCCCGCAAGGGACUGACGGUACCUUCAGAGGAAGCCCCGGCUAACUACGUGCCAGCAGCCGCGGUAAUACGUAGGGGGCAAGCGUUGCUCGGAAUUACUGGGCGUAAAGGGUGAGUAGGCGGUCGAGCAAGUCAAGGAUGAAAUCCCGAGGCUCAACUUCGGAAUUGUUCUUGAAACUGUUCGGCUUGAGGGUAGUUGAGGAGAGUGGAAUUCCCGGUGGAGCGGUGAAAUGCGUAGAUAUCGGGAGGAACACCUGAGGCGAAGGCGGCUCUCUAAGCUACUCCUGACGCUGAAUCACGAAAGCUAGGGGAGCAAACGGGAUUAGAUACCCCGGUAGUCCUAGCCGUAAACGAUGGACACUGGAUAUUCCGGCAUUUCUGCUGGAGUGUCGUAGCUAACG